rnacentral:snoRNA from 1 species
GGAGUGUGCUCAAGAGCAAGGGGGCCUGAAGAAAUGGCUCCUCUGUUUACAACACACCCAGGAAGAAAUCUGGGUUCAUAUGACAAGGGGUACAACGCUUGUGGCCUUCCUGUGAACAAACGCCCAACAUGU